rnacentral:rRNA from 1 species
UACGUAGGGCGCAAGCGUUGUCCGGAAUUAUUGGGCGUAAAGAGCUCGUAGGCGGCCUGUUGCGUCCGCUGUGAAAUCCCGGGGCUCAACCCCGGGCCUGCGGUGGAUACGGGCUGGCUAGAGGCAGGCAGGGGAGAACGGAAUUCCUGGUGUAGCGGUGAAAUGCGCAGAUAUCAGGAGGAACACCGGUGGCGAAGGCGGUUCUCUGGGCCUGUACUGACGCUGAGGAGCGAAAGCGUGGGGAGCGAACAGG